rnacentral:rRNA from 1 species
AUUGAACGCUGGCGGCAUGCUUUACACAUGCAAGUCGAACGGUAACAGGCCUUCGGGUGCUGACGAGUGGCGAACGGGUGAGUAAUGCAUCGGAACGUACCCAGAGGUGGGGGAUAACGCAGCGAAAGCUGUGCUAAUACCGCAUGUGAUCUGAGGAUGAAAGCGGGGGACCGAGCAGCAAUGUUUGGCCUCGCGCCUUUGGAGCGGCCGAUGUCGGAUUAGCUAGUUGGUGGGGUAAAGGCCUACCAAGGCGACGAUCCGUAGCUGGUCUGAGAGGACGACCAGCCACACUGGGAUUGAGACACGGCCCAGACUCCUACGGGAGGCAGCAGUGGGGAAUUUUGGACAAUGGGCGCAAGCCUGAUCCAGCAAUGCCGCGUGCGGGAAGAAGGCCUUCGGGUUGUAAACCGCUUUUGGCAGGAACGAAACGGUGUCCGCUAAUACCGGGCGCUAAUGACGGUACCUGCAGAAUAAGCACCGGCUAACUACGUG